UUUCUAAAAAUAGUUUUCUUAGUCAAUGGUCGGCUUUGAGUAUUAACUUAUUUUAAUUUCCUUUCAUAUGUUUCGGAUGUUCCAUCAGAAUAGAAGAUGAAUACAUCCUAGAAACCUUUGCCAGAACAACUUGUGUAAAGCAACGGGCGGGGUUUGAGCCCGGUACAAACGAGACAGUAGCCCAGCGCUCUUACCACGUCACCAGACAGCCAUAAAUAAAAAAGAGAGACCUGACAACCCAGCAAGUCCGACACUUCGUUUUUCAAAUUAAGGACACAGAAUAGAGGUAACCAUCAGAGAUGAGUGAACUCAGGUGCAUCCUUAAAUUCCUGAAAUUCAAAAUCAAUCAGAUUGGAACCUAAGAUCCCUCUGUUUAGAAGCUAAGUGCUUUGUAACUAAGUCACUUGCCUUUUUUAGCUUAAUAUGUUAUAUGUUAAGUUUCAGUAUUUGUAAACCUGCUUUCUUUGUCUACAUCUUUACAAAGAGAUUCAAUUCAAAUAUUGCUAAGAGUUCGCCCUCCUGAUCCAAGUGAAAAAGACUUUGCACAACGAGUUCUGGAUGUUAACACUGUAGACAAUGCCAUUAUUCUUCACACAAAGCCAGAGCCCACAAUUUUCAACUAUGACAAUGUAGCAGAUGCUGACACCACACAGGAAGCUGUGUUUUCACUAGUUGGUAAAAAGAUUAUUGAAGAUUGUUUAAAUGGCUACAAUGGAUCCAUAUUAGCUUAUGGCCAGACUGGCUCAGGAAAAAGUUUUACUAUGUUUGCAUGGCAGUAAAAAACAGUUUUUGUGUCACUGCUCCUUUUUAGAAAUCUAUCAAGAGCAAAUCUUUGAUCUUUGGAUACAGCUUCACAAGGUAUUUGCUUAUGUGAGAAUAUGAACAAAGGUGUCUUUGUAGAUGGACUCAUUGAGCAAGUUAUCUGCAACCCAAGAGAUGCUUAUUAGUUAAUAAUCAAGGGCUGGUUGAAUCAUAGAGUAGCUCUUACUUCCAUGAACAGAGAGGGGUCGCACUCUCAGGCUAUUUUUACAGCUAAAAUAGAGUCAAAGGAGGAAGUAGGUGGUUUCCAAAAAAGCAAUAUAUCACAGAUAAAUCUAAUUGAUCUGGCAGGAUCAGAGAGACAGAAAGCUACCAACACUGACAGCACUCGGCUCAAAAUCUACAAAAAUAGAGGAUUUGAAUAUUUCUUUCAAAGAUUAUCAAAAAAUCUUUUUACAGGAGGAUUCAUUUAAGAAAUUGUAUGCUGUCAUUAGUAAACUUCAACAAGAAAAUCAAAACUUGCUGGAAAAGUUGAUCUUUAUGAAUCACUUAGAGUUUAAGGACCACAGCUGCUCCAAGCCCCCAGCAGUAGACUGCAUCAGUGAAGGAGAAGAGGAGGAGGAAAGCAAUUUAUCUUGAACAACUGAAAAAAGAGACAUUGACAUCCAGACAGACAUGAACACUGCAAAUGGUUUAGAUGAGAUAAGAAAAUGUGCGAUGGAUAAGCUUGAAAUCAGUCAAGAUAGGAAAAGCAUGGAGCUAGUGAAGCAAGAGAAAUGUGUUCAACAGAAUAAUGACCAGCCGAAACUUGAAGAAGAACUUUUAAAAGAUAAGCUGGAUGAAUUGAUCUCUAAAGAGAAAUCGCUGUCACGACAAACGGAAUCAUGAAUCUCAGCUGACAGCCAAAGAAGAAGAACUGCAAAGAGUGAACAUGACUCUUCAGAAAUUUGAAAAAGACAACAAAGUUUUACAAGCUAUGUGGAAGCACACAGAAGUUUGUGAGCAGAAAGCUCCUUAAGUGCCAAAUUUUCAAGUUAUUAGGAAUAUUGAAUCAGCCUAUAGCCGCAAGAUGGAAGAGUUCGAGAGGUCAAUCUUUGGCAAAGAUAAAAAAGUAGCUGAGUUAUUAUUUGAAGUAGCACAAUUAAAAGAGGAACUUCACCUUGCCAGGGAAACACAUGCAUCUGUUUUAAAAGACAGGAAUUGCAAUAAAAUGGGUGCUGAAUUUCAGAGUGCUGUGCCUAUGCAAGGAGGUGCUAUUGGUGAGCCUGGAGAGAGAAAGUCAUGUUCAGAAAAAAAUGGCUCGUUUAGAGGAAGAACUCUAAUAAAAGAAACAAAAAUGCCAGAAAUAAAUGAACAAUCUUGGAGAAGUAAAAAAAAGUGAAUGAACUAAUAACAUCCUUUUAAAGAAUCACUAUUUUUGUAAAUGUUUGUUUUUUUAUAUCAAUCAAUGGUUAUAAUUCAAAUGAAAGCCACUUCAUUCUUCUUAAAAAAAUCCAGUACAAGAGAUACAGUACUUGUAAGCAUGUCAAUGAUUGGUUGAAUCCUACCAGUAUUUGAAUAAACAUAUAUUUUAGUUUGAUGCCCAAGAUUGGCAUUGACUCUAGACUAAUAAUUGUGUUUAUACACAGUUUGUAAAAGAAAUAUGUCGAGAUAUUUUUGUUAAGAUUUUUCUUAAGUUCAAGCUACUACAAUAAGUUCUACAAUGGAAUUUAAAAAGAUGUUUAUGGAAAUUGUCUUUCAUUUCACUAGCCAUUUGUUUCUCAUAAAAAUUGUGGAAUUGAAAAUGUCUGUUACAUGUGCUUCUAUAUCUAAUAUUUAUGAAAAAAUAUAUAUAUAUAGAAUAUCCUCUGCUUAAAAGUAUGCUUUAUUGGAAUAUGUUUAUGUCAAUACUUGUAAUAAAAUGAACAAGAGGUGUUUCACUCUAGUAGUUUAAAUUUUCAUAAGUUAUGAACUAGAGGCCUUAAAUAAAAUUGACUACUUUUGGAUAAAUUUGUCAUCUCUGUUGAUGUACAAAUAAUGUAACUAGGCCUCAAGUUUUUCCUAAAUUGAGCAAAGAGAAAGAGCAUCCACAUUUAUCUUUUUCUAGAAAGAACAAAAAUAAAGCUCAAAUAUUUCUCCUAUUUUGACACAAAUUAAGAAAAAUAAUAUGACCAUUUUUGUAGGAGCUCGCAAGGUUAAAUUUAUAGGUAGGCUAUUUAGGCAUGGUUGUAUUUUACACAGCUACAACUGUAUUAAUACAUAAAUAAGCCGUCCUAUUGUAAAUAUGUACUGUACAUAAAGAAUUAGUAGAAAUAGCUAUUUGAUCUUCAUGUAUUGUCUUGAAUCCUUUUUUUUUUUUGUUGGUGUUUUGAUUUUUCUGAAUAACUUAUAUGUUAAACUACUUGUAUAAUGUGUUUGUAAAUAUUCAUAUCAGAUAAUUUCUAUUGCUGUUUAUUAAGGAAGUUGGAAGUUUUGUUUAUGUAUCAACACAGACCAUGAGCUCUAUUAUAACUGUCUGUCUGGUCUUUCAGUUUUUCUUUGGGUCAUCUUUGUUUCAUUGUGGCAGUUUGUAUUUAUAUUUAGUGUAUUCUUGCCAUUUUAUGCCCAUAAUUGAACCCAGACUCCUUUGGUUCAAUCCUUCUAGCACCCUUAAAUGCUUUGCAUGUAGCUGCCAAAUCUGAGAGCCAUAAUGAAGUGCUUCGAGGCCACUGCCUGGGUAGAUGUGUAACUAUUUAUCUAUCAUGUGAUUGCAGAAGUUUGGGCCCUCUGAGUCCACCCAGCUCUAAUGGGUACCUGGCAUUAGUUGAGGAAAAGUAAAGGCGGUUGGUCAUUGUGCUGGCUACAUGAUACCCUCGUUAACUGUAGGCCACAGAAUCAGAUGACCUUUACAUCAUCUGCCCUAUAGACCACAAGGUCUGAAAGGGGAACUUUACUUACUUACUUAAUUGCAGAAGUGUUUACAUAAAAACAUUCCGUACUCAAGUUUAACUGCCAUUGGUUAGAAUCAAUAUCUUAAAUAGAAUAAGGUGUAAUUGUGAACAUUAAGCCACAGAGAUGUGACCCCACAAUGACUAUGCUAGGAGCAGUAGUUGUUAUUUAUAAUUCUAGCAAUCAAUUGUUUUGUUAAAGACCCCUAGCACUAUUAGAUCUUCAAAUUAGCUUAGUGAUAUUGUAAUAUGUGAUUUAUAUUAGCUGAUAUUUUAUUGUUUUCAUGGAUUAACAAGAUUUUUUUCUGUUACUUUUCAUAACAUUUGUCAUUACACCACAACUGAUGCCUUACUGAACAAAAUGUUCUAAUGAGUGAAAAUAAAGUUAUUUAUUUUCUAA